rnacentral:rRNA from 1 species
GGAUUAGAUACCCUGGUAGUCCACGCCGUAAACGAUGAACACCAGCUGUUUGGACAUACGACAGUCCAAGUGGCGCAGCUAACGCGAUGAGUGUUCCGCCUGGGGAGUACGGUCGCAAGACUAAAACUCAAAGGAAUUGACGGGGGCCCGCACAAGCGGUGGAGCAUGUGGUUUAAUUCGACGCAACGCGAAGAACCUUACCUGGGUUUGACAUCCCCGGGCCUCCCUGGAAACAGGGAUUUCUCUUCGGAGACCGGGUGACAGGUGCUGCAUGGCUGUCGUCAGCUCGUGCCG